rnacentral:rRNA from 1 species
AGCAGCCGCGGUAAUUCCAGCUCCAAUAGCGUAUAUUAAAGUUGUUGCAGUUAAAAAGCUCGUAGUUGAAUUUCGGGGUUAGUAGGUUGGUCAUGCCUCUGGUAUGUACUGGUCUCACUGAUUCCUCCUUCCUGAUGAACCUUAAUGCCAUUAAUUUGGUGUUUUGGGGAAUUUGGACUGUUACUUUGAAAAAAUUAGAGUGUUUAAAGCAAGCUAACGCUUGAAUACAUUAGCAUGGAAUAAUGAAAUAGGACGUUCGAUCCUAUUUUGUUGGUUUCUAGGAUUGACGUAAUGAUUAAUAGGGAUAGUUGGGGGCAUUAGUAUUCAAUUGUCAGAGGUGAAAUUCUUGGAUUUAUUGAAGACUAACUACUGCGAAAGCAUUUGCCAAGGAUGUUUUCAUUAAUCAAGAACGAAAGUUAGGGGAUCGAAGACGAUCAGAUACCGUCGUAGUCUUAACCAUAAACUAUGCCGACUAGGGAUCGGAUGAUGUUAAUUUUAUAAUGACUCAUUCGGCGCCUUACG